AUGUCGGUGAGCGGAUUGGCGGAUCUGUCGUCGGCAAAAAGCGGUGCCCCUCUGAAGCCGACUGGCCUUUUGAUCUUUGCUGUCAGCAAAUCAGCGGCUGAUCCUGCGCCGCUGCACUGAAUGUCAGAGACCUCGUAAUCCUGGGCAACGGUGGCGGCAACCUGAAACAAUACCACCGUCAUUCAUCUGCACGGUUUUGCCACGGUAACAUUCGCGACGUCUCCGUGUACGAUUCUUCAUCGUUCCCGUCCGCAGAGUUUGUUUCCCUAAUUUCGGCAAUGCUAUCCGGCACAAGAGACUCAACGUACAAUCAUCGACUAAUCGGUCCCCCAUAAUCAGAGAUGAUUCGUCCAGCGAUAAAUUCUUUCUUAAGUAUCCAGCGCCGCCGAGGGACAGACGGUUGUUCCGCGUUUAUCGCGGUGUCUACUGUGGCGUUGCCUUCGAUAUGAAACAAGGUGACCAACACGCGUGGAGAGUAGACUUCAAUUCGAAUAACGGUGUAAAGAAACGCUCUGAUGCCCACCUAAGAUAUUCGUUAUGCGUACCAUACAGGUUACCCAUCGUGCGGUCAGCCAGACGAGUAACAGUGGUAUAGGUCAUGGUUACUUCCUCAAGGCAACUCCUAUUCGUUCGGUGAACGAGAAGGCCAACGAGAAGAAAUUCGAUUGAAACAGCGAAUAGUAAUGGAAUUAAUUAUGUCUGUGGUAAUAAUAAGAAAUUCGAUGGAACAACAGCAGAAGCACAAAGGAGAACCAUUUAAUAUUUAAUGAAUAUGUUAUUUAGUAAUUAUUUAAGUGAAUUUUACAUUUUGAAAACCAUUAGCAUAACAAUGUUUUAAAACUCAUUAAAUAUAUAUCUGUUCGAAUGAUAUUAUUGCUAUUUUUAAUACAAUUAUAAUAAUUUCAUCAAUCUUUCUUUUAUGAAAAUCAAUUUCCCAGUUCAGGACAAAAAAUUGUACUUUAUGGUGCCCAUACAAGAGGUACUAAUUUAAUUUACAAUAAUCACUUCAUUCGCAGGCAUAACGACUUCCAGAGUUAAGUUAAUGGACAGCUUAAAAUUAAAUUAUUCAAAUAUGAUCACGAUUGAAUUUAUUUGCAGUGAAAGAACUUGAUAGUUGAUCGUUGUAAUUGUUUCAUAAAAGUGUAAUGACAAACGAGAACGUUUUUGUUUUAUUGUUAUGUUAUUCGACACGACAUAGUCAUCAUUUGCUGCCCUAGUUGCUUGGUAUGUCUGCGGUGAAACUGAAGUUAGUGAUAAAAUCGAAAUUGCAUCUAAUAAAAAGUGAUUGCCUAUUUCAACAUUUCUUAAAUUCUUUUUCAACAUUUUUUAAAUAGCGAUAAUUCCAUUCAAACAGAUACAUGUUCAAUGAGUUUGAAAAAAUUGUUAUUUCAAUGAUCUUCAAAAUGUUAAAAGUAUAAUUAUAAAUAAUUGCUAAAUAACAUAUUCAUUAAAUAUUAAAUAAUUCUUCUUUACUGUAUGCAACCACACAUAAUGUUCGCUUUUAUUGCUGAUUACGUAACUCAAUGUAUUUCAUUGAGAUCGAACAACGUAUAUCUCAGGUAGAACAAUUUUAUAAGGUUGAUGAUCUCUAAUUUAGAAAGUCUCGUGGACCAAUGUAUGCGAGACGCUGUAUCAUUAAAAUCAUUAUUAUUGUGUUAUAAACAGCGAUAAUUCCAUUCAAACAGAUACAUGUUCAAUGAGUUUGAAAAAAUAGUUAUUUCAAAUAACAUAUUCAUUAAAUAUUAAAUAAUUCUUUACUGUAUGUAAGCACACAUAAUGUUCGCUUUUAUUGCUGACUAUGUAACUUAACGUAUUUCAUUGAGAUCGAACAACGUAUAUCCGAGGUGGAACAAUUUUAUAAGGUUGAUGAUCUCUAUAAUUUAGAUAGUCUCGUGGACCAAUGUAUGCGAGACGCGUGAACGUCGAUAGAUUUUAAUGACACAGGUAUGCGCGAAGGAACACACAAAGUGGCACACGUAUGUGUCCACGAGUCGAUUCGAUUGACGCCCGGUAACUUAACGGGAAGAGAGAAACAACCGAAAUCUGUUACGUAAAACGGGCCCCCUCCGUUCGAAUCGUCUCUCCAGAUUGCCUCCUGGAUAACUAUGUAUGUAUACACGAACAUUUUUUCCCGUUUCGUACAGGAGAACCGCAACCGUGCCUUUACGACGCCAUAAAUUGCGCACUUUUUUUCCUAUUCGGCGGAAUGACAUCGCAUCGACUAUACGCGAGCUAUUCUGUAGCGUUAAUGUUCCCAGCAACUUUAACGCACAAUUUUUAUUCGGCGUGUACGCGAUUUACGGACUUUCAGUCGAUUUUUAGGCUUGCUCUUGUUAUAACGAGAAAAUUUGUACCGCUCUGUUGCUCGUGAUACAAAUGUCUCGUGUAAUCAUAGAGAAGAAAAUGUAUUUUUCGAUUGAAAUUAGUUUAUAAAUGAGUGUUAAUACUUUUAGCACUAUGUCACCCCCAUAUGAGUGACAAAUUUUUGCUCUGAAACGAAACAUUAAUGUUAACGUUUAUAACAGAAUAUUAAAGGGUUUAGUUCAGUUGAAGUCCAUGAACAUUUUUACUAGUUUCAGGAGUGUUGUUAUUAAAGGAUAUAAUUUAAUAGGAUCCAUGGGGGAUCUACAGUAAAAUAAAUAAUGUUCAAGUCGAGAAAAAUUGAUUCGAUGCAGGUUAAAAUUCCUGGCAACUUUUUAUAUAUACAAUUUUUCGGUCUAUAUAAAAUCGUUUUUAGAUUUAACGAUCGAUGAUGACAGGUUCAUAAACCUUAUUAGGAAACUGUUAAUUGAUUCUAAAUAAAAAGCAGUAUAA